UCUGACAGCCUUGAAAUGCUCAGUAUUCAUUGUUGACCUCUUUAUCUCCACUACCAGAGUCAUCGGCAUGAAAAAUAGGAUUAUAUUUGCCUACACAGGAAUGUCAGUAGGAGGGACUUCAGUGAUGCCAUUUCCUGAUAAGCAAUAAAUCUAUAAGAGGAAAUGAGCCGUCAAGCCCUCAUGUAAUUCUGCUGUGACAAUGGGAGAAGGCUUCAUCAUGAAAGACUGGCAGCUUUUACUCUUAAGAUUUGCAACAAGGGGAGGACUCAAGAUGGCGCUGUGAGAACAACCCAGGAUUGGAGCUUGCGUUGAACCGCAAACGGUGAGUCAGAGCUGCAUUUACAGACUGAUCUUUGUUGCCCACAGAACGGGGAAACUCCCAAGUAUAAAAAGACACAGGACGCCAGGCAGUAGGUCUGCCUGGUGAAGCCGGCAGCCAGGGCGGCGGCGGCCGGCCCUACCCAGCAAUCCCCACAGGGCGCGCUUGUCCGGGUGCC
rnacentral:lncRNA from 1 species